GGAGGCGUCCCCACUUCCAUAAGAGAAAACAAGGGCCACGAUGCCUUUAGCCUAGGGUAAUUAGACCUGGUUUUAAAUCUUUAUGGCGUCCUGUACAUAAGGUAGCCCGGGCCCUUCUGCUUCCCGGCCUCUUCUGUUUUUCAGCCAGAGCACACACUUUACAGACUUUUAACCAAGCAUUUGCUAAUUACUAGCUAUCUCACUUUGGGCAAGUCCGCAAGUCUCUAAAAGGAAGAUAUUAAAUACCCCUGUGGCGCUCUGAUCAAAAGAUCUCCCAAAGUUAAAGCACUUAACCUGCAAGUCUUACAGAGAGCAAGAACGCUAUAAAGGGUGGUUAAUUUAUGAUUGUGUGCAAACGACUAUUUGAGACUAAUGCAGAGGUAAAGUUUUGUCUGCAAGAUGAAGAGGAGGACCAGAGGGGGUCAGCGACCUCCAAAUAUCUAUGUGAACGUUUACACUAUGGGUCCUUGUUUUUCAUCAUGUUGUCAAAAGUAAUGAACACCUUCCUUGGACUUGAAAGAAGAGCCCAUUAUCACUGCCAUCUUUGUCAAGAAACUAGUUCUGAUCAUAGAUUGGAGGGAGGCAAUACCUCAGCUGUAGACUCAGAGCACCCUGGAUUUCGCUCCUGGCUUUCCUACUGAUCAGUGGUGUGACUCUGGGCAGGUGAAUCUAACUUGCUGAGCUAUUAUUUCCUGUCUAUGGAAUGACAGUUGUCACCACGUGCCUGGCAAGAUGUGGAGGAUGGCAUCAGAUAAAGUUGAUAAGAAAGUGGUGUUAAUUGGCAUCUUAGCAAAUGCUUUCUUUCCAUGCUGACUUCAUGUCCUCUCUCCUCUCAGUGAGCUGUAUGUUCUAUAUAUCCUAUUAGUUGAGACUGUUAUCUCUUUAGGUGAGUACCCUUUCAAUAUAUUUUAAAAUA
ensembl:lincRNA Gm42997 predicted gene 42997